AGUGAACGCUGGCGGUAGGCCUAACACAUGCAAGUCGAACGGCAGCACAGUAAGAGCUUGCUCUUACGGGUGGCGAGUGGCGGACGGGUGAGGAAUACAUCGGAAUCUACUUUUUCGUGGGGGAUAACGUAGGGAAACUUACGCUAAUACCGCAUACGACCUACGGGUGAAAGCAGGGGAUCUUCGGACCUUGCGCGAUUGAAUGAGCCGAUGUCGGAUUAGCUAGUUGGCGGGGUAAAGGCCCACCAAGGCGACGAUCCGUAGCUGGUCUGAGAGGAUGAUCAGCCACACUGUAACUGAGACACGGUCCAGACUCCUACGCGAGGCAGCAGUGGGGAAUAUUGGACAAUGGGCGGAAGCCUGAUCCAGCCAUACCGCGUGGGUGAAGAAGGCCUUCGGGUUGUAAAGCCCUUUUGUUGGGAAAGAAAAGCAGCAGGUUAAUACCCCGCUGUUCUGACGGUACCCAAAGAAUAAGCACCGGCUAACUUCGUG
rnacentral:rRNA from 1 species